UACGUAGGUGACAAGCGUUGUCCGGAUUUACUGGGCGUAAAGAGCGCGCAGGCGGUCGAUCAAGUCGAGUGUGAAAGCCCCCGGCUCAACUGGGGAGGGUCAUUCGAUACUGAUCGACUCGAAGGCAGGAGAGGGUAGUGGAAUUCCCGGUGUAGCGGUGAAAUGCGUAGAGAUCGGGAGGAACACCAGUGGCGAAGGCGGCUACCUGGACCAGCACUGACACUGAGGCACGAAAGCGUGGGGAGCAAACAGG
rnacentral:rRNA from 1 species